rnacentral:rRNA from 1 species
ACGCUCGACACCUACGGGAGCAGCAGUUGGGAAUAUUGGACAAUGGAGGAAACUCUGAUCCAGUGACGCCGCGUGAAGGAAGAAGGUCUUCGGAUUGUAAACUUAUUUUGUCAGGGAAGAAAAAUGACUGUACCUGAAGAAAAAGCACCGGCUAACUACGUGCCCGCAGCCGCGGUAAUCUGAGCGGGCUGGCAAGGC